CGAGAAGUAAACAUUCGCAUCUGUUGGCAAAAAUUAAAAUGCGUAUAUUGUUUACUAUGAAUGUUUUGAAUACAAAUAGCUGAAAAAUGAACUACAGCGAUGAAAUGAUUUCACUUUUGUUACGUCCCGCCACUGUUGUCCAUCGCAUAAUAUGUUUAAGGGCAGUGUUGAACUUGCCUCUUCCUCUUUGCAAAUUACACUUCCUCCUCACUGUCCUUCAAGAUCUCCCAUCCAGCAACCGGCUGAUGCUUUUCCUCCUGAGUCCCAGCAGUCCACACACAAUGGGACAAAAAUAGCACACGCACGCGUUUGGGUAGUGUGUCGCCGUACUGAGGAAGUGCAGCCUGCCAGACGAGUGGCCUGGAAGGAUGAGGAGAGCAAGAGCAGGCCGAAUGAUAAAAGAGGGAGAGCGAAUGGGAAGUGCCUGAGGUGGGCUGCUGGAUGUGAAAAGCAGCAGAGUGCUGACAAGGCAACCAGACAAGUGGGAUGUGUUCCCUUCUUUGUUGUAUGUCCUGCUACACUCACUCACACACACACACCUACCUGCCGUUCCCCCGGGCGCUCCUCACACUGUCGGAAACAGGACUGGGCAUUUUGCACUGUUAAGUCAUUAUAGUAACGGCAACAUCCUGUGUCCCACACUUCCGUUCACAAAGUCACAAUGCUCUUAUUUCUAUUUUGGCACAGAGAUCCCCGAAAGAAUUCCCCUUGAUUUUAAGAGUGCUGUAAUUUGUUGUCCUUUCAACGGAUUCAUUUUCCGGGACCAUGGGUGUGGACUUCUGUCUUUUCUCGGCACUCAUGGUAAGCGUAUUGACAUAAAUAUUCACAGCUACGGUCAAGGCAAGGUCUCGUAAAUGCCACAAAUCACGUUUUUAGAGUGCACCACGGCAACUCUUUGCUCAAGUAGUGCUCAUGUUUAUCGGUUUACGCACGUGGCUCUCGGCAGUCGCGGGAAGAGGCUUUUGUGGUCGCUUGGCUGAAGUGAUCGCAGUUGCCUCUGUCAUGAAUUCUAUUUGAUGGUAGGAUUAUAAGUACGGAAACGAUGAAUCAAGCAAGACUCAAUUAUGAAGACAAA